rnacentral:ncRNA from 1 species
AUCUGAUUCUCGCCCUGGUGGUUUAGUGAGGUCCUCCGAUUGGACCCGGUCCGGGCGGCGACGUCCGAGCCGGCGUCCGAGAAGACGAUCUAACUUGAUCAUUUAGAGGAAGUAAAAGUCGUAACAAGGUUUCCGUAGGUGAACCUGCGGAAGGAUCAUUA